rnacentral:rRNA from 1 species
AAUAGAUACCCUGGUAGUCCGCACCGUAAACGAUGAUCACUUGGUGUUGGUGGUAUUGACCCCAUCAGUGCCGAAGCUAACGCGUUAAGUGAUCCGCCUGGGAAGUACGGUCGCAAGAUUAAAACUCAAAGAAAUUGACGGGGGCCCGCACAAGCGGUGGAGCAUGUGGUUCAAUUCGAUGCAACGCGAAAAACCUUACCUGGGUUUGAAGUGCUAGUGAAUAUGGCAGAGAUGUCAUAGGCCUUCGGGACACUAGUAUCAGGUGCUGCAUGGCUGUCGUCAGCUCGUGUCGUGAGAUGUCGGGUUAAGUCCCAUAACGAGCGCAACCCCUAUGUUUAGUUGCCAGCAUUAAGUUGGGCACUCUAAACAGACUGCCGACGUUAAGUCGGAGGAAGGUGGGGAUGACGUCAAGUCCUCAUGGCCUUUAUGUCCAGGGCUACACACGUGCUACAAUGGUCGGUACAAAGGGAUGCAAGAUCGUGAGAUGGAGCAAAUCCCAAAAAACCGAUCUAAGUUCGGAUAGG